rnacentral:snRNA from 1 species
AUCGCUUCUCAGCCUUUUGGCUAAGAUCAAGUGUAGUAUCUGUUCUUAUCAGUUUAAUAUCUGCUACGUCCUCUAUCCGAGGACAAUAUAUUAAAUGGAUUUUUGGAGCAGGGAGAUGGAAUAGGAGCUUGCUCCGUCCACUCCACGCAUCGAACUGGUAUUCUGCAGUACUUCCAGGAACGGUGCACCAAAA